CAUCUUUAUCAAACUCAACAAAUACAAGCGUUAUACUUUGCUAGUUUGCUAUCAAAUAACAAUUUCUUAUAGAUAUCAGGAACUACAAGUAUCUCUUUAGUUUUCAACCAUAACUUUGCGGUAUUUCCAACAUGUGUGAUUUUAAGAUGUGAUCCAUUUCCAACAACUAUUAUAUCCAUUACAUUAUAAGAUUCACAGUUGCUAAAGCUAGAGGGAGAUAUUCGAUAGCCUGGUAGGAGUAGUCCCACCUGUUGAAGCAUUUCAUGUCUUUGUUGUUGUUCUUACCGCAUAAAUAACAGGUGGAUUAGAAUAGGUGGCUACAUGAUUCAAUAAUUUGGGUCAUAACAAUCACUCACAAAAACUGUUGGCACA